rnacentral:rRNA from 1 species
GACGAACCGUGCAAACGUUGUUCGGAAUCACUGGGCUUAAAGGGCGCGUAGGCGGGCCAGCCAGUCUGUGGUGAAAGCCUCCAGCUUAACUGGAGAAGUGCCGUGGAUACUGCUGGCCUCGAGGAGGGUAGGGGCAUCUGGAGCGGUCGGUGGAGCGGUGAAAUGCGUUGAUAUCGACCGGAACUCCGGUGGCGAAGGCGGCUCUCUGGGACGGUACUGACGCUGAGACGCGAAAGCGUGGGGAGCGAACAGG